UUUCUGCACCUCUAGUUUCUUUUCUGGCUGAUGAUGCCAAAAAGGAUAAGUUGUGGGGUCCAUUGAUAUCUUGAUUUGGUUAUUCUGCUUUGAGAUGGACUCUGAUUUUAAUGCAAGAUCUGAUGACUCCGGAUGACAAAUCCUGCUGAAUCGGACUCAACCAAUUUCACUUAAUUUGACCUUUAAAACAUGAUUAAGCCCA
rnacentral:lncRNA from 1 species